rnacentral:rRNA from 1 species
CAAACUGAAGAUGGCGACCGGCGCACGGGUGAGUAACACGUAUCCAACCUGCCGAUAACUCCGGAAUAGCCUUUCGAAAGAAAGAUUAAUACCGGAUAGUAUACGAAUAUCGCAUGAUAUUUUUAUUAAAGAAUUUCGGUUAUCGAUGGGGAUGCGUUCCAUUAGUUUGUUGGCGGGGUAACGGCCCACCAAGACUACGAUGGAUAGGGGUUCUGAGAGGAAGGUCCCCCACAUUGGAACUGAGACACGGCCCAA